CGCUGGCGGCAGGCCUAACACAUGCAAGUCGGACGGUAGCACAGAGAGCUUGCUCUUGGGUGACGAGUGGCGGACGGGUGAGUAAUGUCUGGGGAUCUGCCCGAUAGAGGGGGAUAACCACUGGAAACGGUGGCUAAUACCGCAUAACGUCGCAAGACCAAAGAGGGGGACCUUCGGGCCUCUCACUAUCGGAUGAACCCAGAUGGGAUUAGCUAGUAGGCGGGGUAAUGGCCCACCUAGGCGACGGUCCCUAGCUGGUCUGAGAGGAUGACCAGCCACACUGGAACUGAGACACGGUCCAGACUCCUACGGGAGGCAGCAGUGGGGAAUAUUGCACAAUGGGCGCAAGCCUGAUGCAGCCAUGCCGCGUGUAUGAAGAAGGCCUUCGGGUUGUAAAGUACUUUCAGCGGGGAGGAAGGCGAUGCGGUUAAUAACCGCGUCGAUUGACGUUACCCGCAGAAGAAGCACCGGCU
rnacentral:rRNA from 1 species